UACGUAGGGGGCAAGCGUUGUCCGGAAUCAUUGGGCGUAAAGCGCGCGUAGGCGGCCAGAUAAGUCCGGUGUGAAAGUCACAGGCUCAACCUGUGAAUGCCGCUGGAAACUGUCUGGCUUGAGUCCGGAAGGGGCGAGUGGAAUUCCUGGUGUGGCGGUGAAAUGCGCAGAUAUCAGGAGGAACACCAAUGGCGAAGGCAGCUCGCUGGAACGGUACUGACGCUGAGGCGCGAAAGCGUGGGGAGCGAACAGG
rnacentral:rRNA from 1 species